GAAUUUUACAUUGCGGGAGAAAGUUAUGCAGGACAUUAUGUUCCGCAGCUAUCUCAACUUGUCUACUAGCAGAACAAGGGAAUCAAGAACCCAAUUAUUAAUUUCAAGGGCUUUAUGGUUGGAAAUGCUGUUACCGAUGAUUACCAUGACUAUGUUGGCACGUUUGAGUACUGGUGG